AGAGUUUGAUCAUGGCUCAGGAUGAACGCUGGCGGUCUGCUUAACACAUGCAAGUCGAACGGAAUCUUUCGGGAUUUAGUGGCGGACGGGUGAGUAACGCGUGAGAAUCUGCCUUCAGGUUCGGGACAACAGUUGGAAACGGCUGCUAAUACCGGAUGUGCCGAGAGGUGAAAGCUUAAGUGCCUGGAGAUGAGCUCGCGUCUGAUUAGCUAGUAGGAGUGGUAAUGGCACCCCUAGGCGACGAUCAGUAGCUGGUCUGAGAGGAUGAUCAGCCACACUGGGACUGAGACACGGCCCAGACUCCUACGGGAGGCAGCAGUGGGGAAUUUUCCGCAAUGGGCGCAAGCCUGACGGAGCAAGACCGCGUGAGGGAAGAAGGUCUGUGGAUUGUAAACCUCUUUUGAUAGGGAAGAAGACAGUGACGGUACCUAUCGUAUCAGCUCGAUUGGGCCG
rnacentral:rRNA from 1 species